AAAAAAAAAUCUGCCUUGUGAGGUUGUGAAGGGGUUAAAAGAGUGGCUGUUAUUCUACCGAUGAUUCUCUGGUUUCAAACUGUAUUUUCAAGGUUGUUAGUCAUUCUUUUGCACCACAAAGGACAAUCUGGUACUGAGGUAUUUUCUUAUUUCUGAUGUGAAGAGAAUAAGGAAACCAAAGUUGUGGACGUGACACAAAUGGUGUCUGAGGCAGAGUUCUGAGAUCUAGAAGUAAAAUUCCAGGGAACGAAGUUCUAGGAAGUGCACCACGCCCCACUGUAUGUGAUGCUGCAUCCUAAUGGGUGAUGGGGGAUGAGGUGCGGGGAGGAGGCCAAGAAAACACUGAGAUAUUGAAAAACUUCCCCAAGGCACCCAGCUUGUCAGGAGCAGUCCUGACUGUUAAUCCCUUGUUUGCAUGACUCCACAGCCUAUGUUUUAAACUCUAUUAUUUCCCUAUUAUCUUUAGACAGGAGGAGGAUUUUUGUUGGGGGGUGACUUUAUAUGUUUUGCUCUUCUGUCCAGAAUGCCCAUAGAUGUUUCAUAGAGAUGUAGGGGAUAUGCAAGAAUUCCAUUCACUAGUCAUCAUUGACCCGCCCUUUUCUUUCAGAGGGGGCUUUCAGGCGAGAGAACAGCAUGUAAAAAGCAGUGAGGCAGAGGAGGGCCUGACACCUUUGAGGCAGAUGAGGGUUUGGAGCGGGAAGUGUGGGGUGAAGUGGUUGAGCCACUGGAUAGGAGGAUGGGGGCCUGGGCAGGAUGGCGUCACACACAGGCGCUGGCUUGGUCUUCCCGUGGGCCACCUCAGCAGUCCUGUCCCCAGCUCUUCACAACCUGGAGAACUGGAUCAGGUCCUGACUGAUCUCAGCAACCGACCGGCAGC